rnacentral:rRNA from 1 species
AACGAACGCUGGCGGCAUGCCUAACACAUGCAAGUCGAACGAGACCUUCGGGUCUAGUGGCGCACGGGUGCGUAACGCGUGGGAAUCUGCCCCUUGGUUCGGAAUAACAGUUAGAAAUGACUGCUAAUACCGGAUGAUGACGAAAGUCCAAAGAUUUAUCGCCGAGGGAUGAGCCCGCGUAGGAUUAGCUAGUUGGUGAGGUAAGGGCUCACCAAGGCGACGAUCCUUAGCUGGUCUGAGAGGAUGAUCAGCCACACUGGGACUGAGACACGGCCCAGACUCCUACGGGAGGCAGCAGUGGGGAAUAUUGGACAAUGGGCGAAAGCCUGAUCCAGCAAUGCCGCGUGAGUGAUGAAGGCCUAGGGUCGUAAAGGCUCUUUUACCAGGGAUGAUAAUGACAGUACCUGGAGAAUAAGCUCCGGCUAACUCCGUGCCAGCAGCCGCGGUAAU